rnacentral:rRNA from 1 species
CACGAGGGUCUCACUGUCUUAAGGAAAUUUCCAGUGAAAUUGAAUUUGUAGUGAAGAUGCUACAUCCAAAUUGUUAGACAAGAAGUCCCCAUGGAACUUUACUGGAAACUUAUGUGGCUUAAAUUAAUUUAUUUCUUACAAAUAAAUAGUUUUUAAAUGUGGUGUUAACCUCUCGGAUUAACGAGGGUUAGAAAAGCUCACUCUUUUAUUUUAAGAAAGCCAACUCAAAAAUUUAUGUCUUUGGGAUUUGAUAAGUGGGACAGUUUGGUUGGGGCGACCGCCUUUAAAAAAGUAACGAAGGCGGGCUUAAGAUAACUUUUUAGUUAUGUCUGACUGCCAAGGGGGGAUCCUGAGCAGACACUUACUUUUUAGGUGGGUUAAAGUGACCCGUUAAUUUAGGGUGAAAUAGUUAACGAUAAGCA